rnacentral:snRNA from 1 species
GUGCUCGCUUCAGCAGCACAUAUACUGAAAUUGGAACGAUACGGAGAAGAUUAGCAUGGCCCCUGUGGAAGGAUGACAUGCAAAUUCGUGAAGCGUUCCAUAUUUUU